rnacentral:rRNA from 1 species
AGCAGCCGCCGCGGGAAUACAGAGGGUGCGAGCGUUAAUCGGAUUUACUGGGCGUAAAGCGUGCGUAGGCGGCUUCUUAAGUCGGAUGUGAAAUCCCUGAGCUUAACUUAGGAAUUGCAUUCGAUACUGGGAAGCUAGAGUAUGGGAGAGGAUGGUAGAAUUCCAGGUGUAGCGGUGAAAUGCGUAGAGAUCUGGAGGAAUACCGAUGGCGAAGGCAGCCAUCUGGCCUAAUACUGACGCUGAGGUACGAAAGCAUGAGAGCAAACAGGAUUAGAGACCCGUGUAGUCCCUGUCUCUUAUACA